GUCGCUGGCAAGUAGAUGAAGCUUCUCAUGCUCAGUCCCUGGUUUGUGGAUAGUACCAGAUGUUCAAAUAACAAGCAAGGACCAAGAUGACACUUGACAUGUGAGAUAUUGAAAUCCAAGAACACUAAAAUCCUUUGGAAGCUUGAUGCAAUUUUAGGCUUCAUCUCAUUUAUUAUAUCUGGGACAUAACUCCUUAUUACAGAGCUGUACUAUAAACAAUGUUCUUUGACAUGGCAUCAAGGUCAUUCAUAUCCUACACAACUUCAACCACCAUAUUACAGAAAGUGAGUCAUAUUUGUGUUUGACAUAUUAGGAAGCAUAUCAAAGCACCACAAAGAAACAAAAGAUAAAAAGAAUUAGAAGAAGAGGAGGAGGAGGAGGAGGAGGAGGAGGAAGAAGAAGGAACAAAGAAAGAAAUGAAAAGCAUUCAUAUUGGUACUCUGCCUCUAUAAGGUCCCAAAAUGUUGUGCUAAGUAAUAUUUAAUUGGCCAGGAAAUAAAUGAAGAUAAAUUCCGACCAUAUAAAUUACCCAAAAAAAAAACAACAAACAAAAAACAGAAGGCUGCUAUCCUAAAUUCUUCACAGAAAGUAAAGAAAUCCAUAUAAGAGGUUAUUUAUCUUACAACUCUCCGAAGAAUAGGUUCCAAUGAUGAGCAAAGUUUCUGCAGACUAUCCACCUUCAGAGCUUCAACUAUUACACUGCAAAACAAAAGUACAUUUCAACAAACAAAAUAACAGGGCAUAGAAAACGGAACUAAUUAAUAAUACAAAAAACCCACUGCCUCGAUUCCUUUGUUUGGACCUAACAACUCAUGUUAGGGUUUCAUUUUGGCCACCAACAGCCAGGUUCCAUUUCUAAUUUGUUUCAAAAUCUCUCUACCACCAGUUCAACAUUUCCUUCUCCCUGCUUAAGCUCCCAUCAUGCACCCCAAACCAACCACUAAACACGCGCAAAGACACAAUUCAACACUUUCUGUAUUUCAAAGAAUUUCCAUAGCAUUAAAAAAAAUUAUAAAUAUGAUUCUUUCAGCUCGGGUGACCAAUUUCUCAACAAAAUCAAACAUACUCACACAUACACACAAAUUUUUGCAGUUCAAAUGCAGGAGCAAGAAUCAACAAAAACAAAGUAGAAGCAAGAAUUUGUAGUCUCGUUUCAUCAAAAACAAGUUUAGUUUUGAAGAUUAUUGUGUAGGUAUUCUGCUUUGUAGUCUCCUCUAAUAAAAUAAUAAAAAAUGAAAAAAAGGUAGAAGCAAGAAUCACUCAAAAGAAAACAGAAAUACAACCAAUUUCUCAACAAAAUAAAACAUACUUACAGACACAAAUUUUCUCAGCUAAAAGUAGAAGCAAGAAUCAACAAAAACAAAUUACUCAAAAGAAGAUAGAAAUACAGUAGAAACAAAUAAAUACCUAGCCAGAGCAGGUCGUUUCCUAUCAGACUGUCCUUCUUCCGUUGAAGAAGGAUCCAAAGCCCUCUUUUCCCUCGCGAGGCUGUUGGAUCUCUCCAUAUACCUAGUUUGCAUUUUGUGAGCUUCCAAACAACCCUCCCGUUUGGUCAGUGAGAAAAAUGUAAGACGGUAAACCAAAUCAAACUCUGAAACAACAAAUUUGCCUCCACCAGAACCCAAGCUUAGUCCUAACCGAGCUCUUCACCUUCAGAAGACCAAAAAACAACAAACAACAACAAAAGGCACUAACUUCAGCUCCGAGAUUCUUUUCUUGUCUUUCCUUUUUCCUUUACCUCGUUUUCCCAGCAACCAAACGGAGACUCAGUUCUCAGACUCCCUUUUUCUGAUCUAAACAAAAAGAAAACAACAAAUCAGAGAUUCAUUCACAGCGGGUGAAAUUUCUAGGAGAUUCGAGCGAAUGAGAAAAUGAAAACAAAAAAAUUUUGAAAAGCGGGAAAAAUGAGAACCUUAGAAAGUUGGCGGAAUCUGAGAAGUUUCAGCGAAAUAUCUACGAAUUUUCGUUCUCACUUUACGUCUCAGUUUUCUUUUCUUCUUUUCUUUUUUCCCCUUUCAUUUUAACUCUCCCUUAUAAUGACGGCUGAAACAGUAACGCAUCCUUUGUGGUAGUUGGAUGGCGACUGAUCUUCGACUGCAUACGAUCGUUUCAUCUCCGCCGUCGGUCUAGGGAAUCUGAGGGUUCAUAAAUAUUAUUUAGUCCCGCCACGUGCGGGAAACGAUGCCACGUAUGGUCUUAGAUAACGCCAGCCGUUCUCGUGCAUGUUUGAUUGCGUCCACUGUUCUACCCUUUUGAGAUGUUGAAAUUUUGAAUUAUGGCGGAUCACUUUNNNNNNNNNNNNNNNNNNNNNNNNNNNNNNNNNNNNNNNNNNNNNNNNNNNNNNNNNNNNNNNNNNNNNNNNNNNNNNNNNNNNNNNNNNNNNNNNNNNNAAAUGCAACACAUGCUCCAGGCAAAUCAAUGAGCACACCAUAGAAUGAUUAAGUUAGCAACUCACCAAUUGAUUGAUAAUUACAUAAUUCAAAUGUGACACGUUUUAACUAUUGUACUUCCAAAAUUAACAUUUUGACUUUGAUAACACUAAGACCAUCCAUGAUCUAUUAGCUAUGUUGGACAAUCAAGAAAAAAAAAUUAAAUUAAAUAAAUAUGCAUUGUCUGUCGCUGGCAAGUAGAUGAAGCUUCUCAUGCUCAGUCCCUGGUUUGUGGAUAGUACCAGAUGUUCAAAUAACAAGCAAGGACCAAGAUGACACUUGACAUGUGAGAUAUUGAAAUCCAAGAACACUAAAAUCCUUUGGAAGCUUGAUGCAAUUUUAGGCUUCAUCUCAUUUAUUAUAUCUGGGACAUAACUCCUUAUUACAGAGCUGUACUAUAAACAAUGUUCUUUGACAUGGCAUCAAGGUCAUUCAUAUCCUACACAACUUCAACCACCAUAUUACAGAAAGUGAGUCAUAUUU
rnacentral:lncRNA from 1 species